GUUUUCGAGGGGGAAAUGCAAGCACAUUCUCCAGCAUGGAGUCCCUAGAGGCAGUGCAUUUUAAACCCUAAAUGUGAAUUAUUAUGUGAGUGUCCGAGUAGAGUUCCAGUUCCGUUUGGAGAAACUGUAUGAGGCGUGUUCCGUGUGGGUGUGUGUGCGUACGGAUACGUGGAAGCAGGAUCUCGGUGUCGCGGGUGUCCCUAGGCUGGGAUCUCCCCCUCUCAUCAGAUAAGGAGAAUCCUCUAGCUCCCCAAAACUGGCCCCCAUAACCAAUCCCGUCUCAGUUCGUAAGGGGUUAACCAAAGCCGAUUCCAAGGAAACACAGGUCCCCCCCACCCCCCGCCACCCUCCACUUACCCCACCCACAGUUCUGCCUCGGACCCCGGCCAAUCCCCCAGAUCUCCCCCGGGACCCCCCACCCCGCAGCCCACCCACCCGAGCGCACAGCUCCUCACCUGAGGGGCCCAGUCGCGUCGGGCCUCCCGAGGGGGCUGCGAGUGUCAGUCGGCUCUCCGCACGUGUCCGCGGCCUCGCGGAGCAGUCCACCCCUGGCUGGUUUCUGCUUCCACCUGCUGAUCUCACAGAGGUGAGGUGAUAACAGUGAUGAAACAAAAUCUUCAAACCACAGCACACUUGAUUUUGACACAAAGCAAGAUACUGAACAUUAACACCACCACAGAGGCCUACUAUGUGCUCCUGUCCCUGUUGUUACUUCCUCCAAAGUGUUGGAGGAGGGGCCUUGUGGAAGGUGAUUGAAUCACGGGGACGGACUUUCCUGUUGCUGCUCUUGUGAUGGAUUUCUCACAAGAUCUGGUUGUUUGAAAGUGUGUAGCACCUGCCACUUCACUCCCUCUCUCUCCUCCUGGCCAUGUGAAGACUGUGCCUGCUUCCUCUUUGUCUUCCACCAUGAUUCACUGCAAGCUAUUUGGCAUAUGAAGGUCUUGACCUGAGAAAACCAUCUUGGAUAACUGCAGCAAGGAAAAGGAAAAAUGCAACACCUAGGAGAUUUCAGUAAACAGUAGAAUCAUGCCAACCUAAUCUGUGUUAAAAUGCUUGGAAUGUGGGAGCCGCUGAUGAUGCCUCUUGUCUGUGUGUCUGACUGAAUCCUUUCUUUUCUCAGAGCAGCAAAGCAAAGCCUGGGAACCAGGCCAAAUGCCUGCCACUUACCUUAAAUUGAUCAGCCACUUUGAGAUUAAAACCCCUGAAAGCUGCCACACCGUGAAAACAAGGCCUCCUUCACAUUAAAGGCAAAUUGCGACUUUGGGUUUGCUGUGAUCUUUUUUCCAUUUUAUCCAGUUUUUCACAGUGCACUUUUUUCCCCCUUUCCAUUUAUGCUCCAAUAUAGAAGCCAAUAGUUACAGCAUCUUGGCCAAGCAUUCAUUAAGGUUUAUAAGAACAAAAUUUAUGGUUAUUUAGGAGUUGGCACAAAGGCAGACUGUUGCUGGAAAAAGAAAAAGAAAUACAGGUGGGAAAUAGAAGCCUCCACAAAGGCCCACACUAUACAGUAGUGUACUAGACUCUAGUAGUGGGCUGGGAGGAAAAUGAAAUAGUAUUUGAAACCAGCUACUCUUCUAUUCUGAAUCAUUCUCAUUUAUGGCUCUGCAGAUUAUUGAAACAAGUAUACUGGUUAUUCCAGGAGAUUUUUCUGUCUUGGGUAAAUGCUACCAUUUACAGGAGCUGACAGUAGAGAUAAAUAGAUGUGUGCCAAUCUGAGUGAUCUGGCAGUUUGGCUAAAGGAUAAAGUGCAUUUAAAAAAGAAAUAUAUAUA
rnacentral:lncRNA from 1 species